UUAAAAUAUUCAAAUAAUAGCCGCUCUCUCUCUCUUCUUUUUGAUAUUAAAUAAGAAAUUGCAGUGAACCCUCUUAUAUGAAAUUUCAACUGUAUUUUUUCUGUUUUUUUGUGAUGCUGCACGAUAUUUUUUUAUAAUCUAAAAUAGAAUAAUUAAUUCUACAGAAAAAAGUCCAUGUCUAGUUGAUUAUUUUGAAAAGCAUUUGCAAUAGCUCAUAAGCAAGCAAACAUUUGAAUUUGCAGUUGACUAUCUAGAAAAAACAUUUCAGUAGGCAUAUUAAAAAAAGCUUAAAAAACAACGACUUAUUUGUGCUUUAUACUUAGCUGAUUUGACUGCAUUUAUGGAAAUUGGUCUAUCUGAGAAAGGUAGCGAGGUCAUUUUUACCAGUUUUUCCCACAAUACCUGAAUGCAACACGACUGCCUGCCGAAGCGCGGGUUUCUGUCUCCCGCGCGCGUGUGUGUUUUGUUUUGUUUUGCGGUGUUUUUAAAGGUGUUUAUGUCGUUUUCUUGCACAACGAGCUGUUAAACAAUGGAUUACGUGUUAAAUUCACGUUUUAUAACACAAUGAUACUCAGCCACAAAGCUUUGUUUCCUAAAGCUUGUUGUUGCGAUCUUUAACUUUGUUGCCAGAAAUAAUGUAUCACUCCCAUGUUUCAGUUUCCCCCCCUCCGCUUACUGUAAACUAGGCCAUCCAGGAAAACACACCAAUUCACUGUCAGUCAUGUUUUCCUGUUUUUUUUUAUCAUAAUCCCGAGUCUUCUUUUGUCUUAUUGGGUGUUUUAUUUUUAUUGAACGUCUUCAUAUAUAUGAAGACAUGCUAGAGCUUAAAAUAAUUCAAGUCUCCACAGGGCAGUGCAUGCUUAUUUGUCCUGUAUGUAGGCCAAAGGGCUUUCUGUGUUAUGCAUUGUGCUUCUGACUCUAAAUAUGUUCUGAAAGCUUUAUGUAAGUGUGCGCUGCGUGUUUUUCCUGCGUCCUAUUGUCUGACCAUUUGUAUGAGCACAUCUACAUGUAAGAGAAACCAAACUGGUCCUGACCUACAUGUGCUAGUUACGUCAUCACCAACUGUAUUUGGAAAAAAGGGGGAAAAAUGUGUCAGAACUUCUAACAAACUUCUGGAAACCACAAUAUGAAAAAAAAAGUAAAUUCAGUGCUUUAAAAGCAUUUUUUUGUUGUUGUUGUUGCUGUUGUUGUUGUUUUUAUUUUUAGUUUAAUCACAAACUUUGAAGGUAAUAGCAGGUCUACUGUGACUGUUAUGAUCACCAUUGUAUUUUAUAUUUUAUUUCUACUCAUUGGUGCUUACACAAUAAGAAUCUGAGCAAAGUUUACCUAACUGUUAAGGUGCUGCUUGCUUGCAGCAGGGAGGGGAGUAGCAGGUGUGUCGGCUCAGCCUUGGCAGCGCAUGGCUGCUAAGGAGGGCCUGGUCUCAGUAUGACUCACAUAAGCAUGACCUCAGGGAGCAUUGAGGGCUUUGGAGCUGUGGCAAUGCAGUUUCAGUGCCAGCUGUUAGAGAGAAGAGAGGGGAAGAGGGAGGAGCUGCUAGGAAAACCAGUUAGCAUGCAGGCAUGACAAGCAGCCGGGCCUUAGUACAGCAGCCUGUUUUGUGGGCCAGUUCACUUCGUCUUACUUAAGGGAAUCUGGAGGAAAGGUUAUGCUGGCCCUAUCUGGGCCUCUGCAUGCACAACUCCCCUGUCCGGUCAACUCCCCCAACUCAGCAACUCCUGGACCGAAGUCAGAAAAUGGGGGAGUUGCCCCAGUGAGGUUAAAUAUAUCACCAGGGGCCACAUUUCACUAAGAGCCCCCGAACUCUGACACCCAUCCACGGAGAAGGGUUUCUUGUCUAAAAAUGUAAAAUAUCAUUUUUACAUUAUUUUGAUUUUGUUUUGUACUCACAUUAAUCCAAAAAUAUUCAUCUGAUUGCUAAAAUAUGAGGGCGUGUGCAUUCAUAACUUCACUAUAAACAAACUUAGCACGAUCUCAAUUCAUUUUAAUGGACCUGAAUUCAAAGUGAAGCCUGCAAAUAUGUGGCAAGAUUGUUUACCUCCCAGUUAAAGCAGACGUGCACAGCCAGUUUGUAGUUCUUGCUGUCCUUUGCAGAGCUACGUUGUUGUUUGCAGAUCACUGUUGCAGCUCGAAUGUUGCAACACUUGGCAACACUUGCAUGGUUUCCUGAUAGUCACACAUGCUAAUGCUAAUAUUAAACUACUCAGAAUGCUUUGCGGGCUCAUAGAAGCACUGUCCAGCAGUUGCUCCUUUUCACCAUAACUACAAACUGGCAUCUGGGUGAAAGGACACAAUACAUAACUCCAUGGCUGCCACAGAUGACCUGUAGUGGUCCGCAGUGAAGGAUGUUUUGUGUACCUCACACCAUGUGACUCCUCCCCCUCUCCUCCUACACAUAAGAGUGGAGCAACAACAGGGAGUUCUUAUCCAGCAGCCGACUCCUGAUUGGUCGGAAUGGGAUUCUGAAGACAAUCUGUUGCUAUGAGAGACUGACUUGUGUGCUGCAAGCUUGCUGUCUGUUGUCCUGGCAACAUGAGGAACAGGAGGCAGGUUUGAGGGCUCCCUGGAGGAGCUUUCCUAGAGGAGACGAUCUAAUGAUGUGUGGUGCCUAAUGAUGUGCGCUCCAUGUUGUUAUUAAAUAUUACACUUUGAAUUUUGCUCUGUGCGGCUGUCGGGCCACUCAGUUCUCUGUGCUGCUCUAUUCAUCAUCCCCACUUUCUAACACCUACAUUAGUUACAUUACAAACUAUUUCUGUGCUCCAUUGUAAGUCUGAAAAUAGCUCAGGUCUACUCAGUGUAUGCUCUGAAAUGUUUUCAAUAUUAAUUCACAGUGGCUGCUUAUGUCUUUAUUGUUUUGAUCUGAGUAUGGAAUAAACAUUUAAUGAACAUGUUCAACGACACUUCAAGUCAGCUGGAAAAAAAAAUAAUUAUCUUGAACCUCACUAUCCUAUGUGCUAUCUGUGUUUUUAAGAUAUGGACUCCAGCCAAUCAUCUUUCUAAUUCUGGGCAUUCGAUGGAACUUAAAAGAUACGGCAUCAAAAAAAUAAUGAAUAGAAAACAACUGGCACAUUUUCAGGCUGACGUGCAAACCCGAGACCUGGCCAAGUGGGCAGCACAAGUUACAACAAAUACAACACAUAACAAUAUAACAAGUAAAAAUAAAAAACAAUAUUCCAUACAGACAAGUGAACAUAAAUGAAAGAUAAAUGAAGUGAAUAAUAUGCGAUAAAAGUGUGCAAUAAUCACA